rnacentral:rRNA from 1 species
GACGAACGCUGGCGGCGUGCCUAACACAUGCAAGUCGAACGAGGUCCAAGGAAGCUUGCUUCCUGAAGACCUAGUGGCGAACGGGUGAGUAACACGUGAGAAACCUGCCUCGGAGUGGGGAAUAACUCGGGGAAGCUCGAGCUAAUACCGCAUACCUUCACAUGAUCGCAUGGUCGAGUGAAGAAAGAAUUUCGCUCUGAGAGGGUCUCGCGGCCUAUCAGCUUGUUGGUGGGGUAACGGCCUACCAAGGCAACGACGGGUAGGCUGGUUUGAGAGAACGAUCAGCCACACUGGGACUGAGACACGGCCCAGACUCCUACGGGAGGCAGCGGUGGGGAAUCUUGCGCAAUGGGCGAAAGCCUGACGCAGCAACGCCGCGUGCGGGAUGACGGCCUUCGUGGUUGUAAACCGCGUUUCAGCAGGGACGAAAAUAGACGGUACCUGCAGAAGAAGACCCCGG